CCUCGGCUCGCCUCAGUCUCCGCUGCCAUAUUGGAUGAGGGUGAUUUCCGCCUCCUGUGCGCUCCGGUAGCGACCUCCGGCGCCAUCUUAAGUUAGGUUAAUGGGGUGGUUGGCAAUGGUUGCCGGGGCCGCUUUGUCUGCCCGCUGGAUGGCUCUCCGACCAUGGCUGUCCUAUUAACCACCACUUGCAGGCUGGAUCAAACCAAUCAUGCCUUGGUUCUUCCUUUCCAAUGGCCCUAUAUUCACUUCUAAACAGACCCACCCUAGUAGCCUGCCAUUUUGGAUCAGGGCAGUUGACGCCGACUUCGCUUCCCAGGUCCUUUACAGGGUGGACUCUGCUCCUUUACCCGUAGCCGGGUUGGAGGUUCAGUCUCCAGAGGUUUCUUCCCUGCCUUUUGACUUUUAAGGGGUUUAUUUGUAAGGCCUCCUACCGUCGAUUUUAACACACCCAAGCGUCUCCUUAAACGAAUUGCAAGAUUGAUAGAAAGAAGCCAAGCAGUCCAGUCCCUGACCCUGGUACCUGCUGUUUUUCCUUCAAUUUUGUGAGUUAUCUCAUUAUUCUUUCCAGCUGGUGAGUCAGUACAUGCCUUUUCCUUAAUCUAGCAUUCCUAGAACAAAGACCUUAUCUCUUUUUCACUUGUUACACCAACAGUCCUGGCAACUCACCUCAUUAGUUUGUUGGUCCAGUGCCCAUUACUGAGACAAUCAUUGUGGCCAAAGGAGAUAACAUAUGCUAUUUGGCCAGGUUUUUGCCAUAUACUCAUAAUGAGAGGAGGGCUGGCUUUACCCAAACU